GAGUUUGAUCAUGGCCAAGUCGUAACAAGGUAGAGUUUGAUCAUGGCCAAGUCGUAACAAGGUAGAGUUUGAUCAUGGCUCAGGACGAACGCUGGCGGCGUGCCUAAUACAUGCAAGUAGAACGCUGAAGACUGGUGCUUGCACUAGUCAGAUGAGUUGCGAACGGGUGAGUAACGCGUAGGUAACCUACCUCAUAGCGGGGGAUAACUAUUGGAAACGAUAGCUAAUACCGCAUGACAAUUAAGUACUCAUGUACUAAAUUCAAAAGGAGCAAUUGCUUCACUAUGAGAUGGACCUGCGUUGUAUUAGCUAGUUGGUGAGGUAACGGCUCACCAAGGCCACGAUACAUAGCCGACCUGAGAGGGUGAUCGGCCACACUGGGACUGAGACACGGCCCAGACUCCUACGGGAGGCAGCAGUAGGGAAUCUUCGGCAAUGGGGGCAACCCUGACCGAGCAACGCCGCGUGAGUGAAGAAGGUUUUCGGAUCGUAAAGCUCUGUUGUUAGAGAAGAACGGUAAUGGGAGUGGAAAAUCCAUUACGUGACGGUAACUAACCAGAAAGGGACGGCUAACUACGUGCCAGCAGCCGCGGUAAUACGUAGGUCUCGAGCGUUGUCCGGAUUUAUUGGGCGUAAAGCGAGCGCAGGCGGUUAUUUAAGUCUGAAGUUAAAGGCCGUGGCUCAACCAUGGUUCGCUCUGGAAACUGGAUAACUUGAGUGCAGAAGGGGAGAGUGGAAUUCCAUGUGUAGCGGUGAAAUGCGUAGAUAUAUGGAGGAACACCGGUGGCGAAAGCGGCUCUCUGGUC
rnacentral:rRNA from 1 species